rnacentral:rRNA from 1 species
UACGUAGGGGGCGAGCGUUGUCCGGAAUUAUUGGGCGUAAAGGGCGCGUAGACGGGAAUACAAGUCUGGUUUUAAAGUUCGGGGCUCAACCCCGUGAUGGAAUGGAAACUGUAUUUCUUGAGGGCAGGAGAGGAAAGUGGAAUUCCCAGUGUAGCGGUGAAAUGCGUAGAUAUUGGGAGGAACACCAGUGGCGAAGGCGGCUUUCCGGACUGCAACUGACGCUGAGGCGCGAAAGCUAGGGGAGCGAACAGG